UGAAUGUUGAUAUGGUUUUGGCUCUGUCCCCAUGAAUCUCACUUCUAAUUGUAAUCUCCAUAAUCCCCAUGUGUCAAGGGCUGGACCAGGUGGAAGUAACUGAAUCAUGGGGAGGGUUUCCCCGUGCUGUUCUCGUGAUAGUGCCUUCUCACAAGAUCUGAUGGCUUUACAUGUGCUUGGCAUUUUCCCUGUUUGCCUUCCCUUCUUCCUGCUACCUAGUGAAGAAGGUGCCUGCUUCUCCUCUGCUUUCUGCCAUGAUCAUAAGUUUCCUGAGGCCUCCCAGCAUUAUGAAACUAGUCUUGCUCUGGAACCCAGUCUGGAAUACAGUGGUACUACCUCGGCUCACUGCAAACUCUGCCUCCCAGUUGGUUCUUACACUGCUAUGAAGAAAUAUCUGAGACUGGAUAAUUUAUAAAGGAAAGAAGCGUAAUUGACUCACAGAUCUUUAUGGCUUGGGAGGCCUCAGGAAGAUUACAAUCAUGGCAAAGACAAAGGAGAAGCAGGCACCUCCUUCACAGGGCAGCAGGAUGAAGUGAGUGCAAGCAGGGGCAAUGUCAAAUGCUUAUAAUACCAUCAGAUGUGGUGAGACUCACCCACUAUCACGAAAACAGCAUGGGGAAACCACCCCCAUGAUCCAAUGACCUCCGCAUGGUCCUGCCCUUGACACAUGGGGA
rnacentral:lncRNA from 13 species